rnacentral:rRNA from 1 species
ACCUAUGAGCAAAUUGCCCUGAAUGCGCCUGAUCUCAUCGGAUUUUGGAAACGCAAGCUGGGUUGAGCCUAGUUAAUAAUUGGAUGAGUGACCACCUGGUCUUGCCAGGUGCCAUAGGCA